GCCUAGCCGUAAACUUUUACUUACACUCAAAUCGCCUGGGAACUACGAGCAAAGCUUAAAACCCAAAGGACUUGACGGUACCCCACAUCCACCUAGAGGAGCCUGUCCUAUAAUCGAUACUCCCCGUUCAACCUCACCACUUCUAGUUUCUCAGCCUGUAUACCUCCGUCCUCAGCUUACCUCGUGAGUGAAAUCUAGUAAGCCUAAUGCCCCUACGCCAACACGUCAGGUCAAGGUGCAGCAAAUGAAGUGGGAAGAGAUGGGCUACACUCUCUAAUAUAGAAAAUACGAAAGACUACCUAUGAAACCUAGUCAGAAGGCGGAUUUAGAAGUAAAAAGAAAAUAGCAUGUUCUUUUUAACUUGGCACUGGGGUGUGUACACACCGCCCGUCACCCUCUUCAUAAGAACCAAAAAAGUACUUAACAACACUUAUCUGCUCAGAAGAGGCAAGUCGUAACAUGGUAAGUAUACCGGAAGGUGUGCUUGGAAAC
rnacentral:rRNA from 1 species